CCCGCGGCCGCCGCCCGGAGCGAUGGCCGGGAGCAGCUCGCUGGAGGCGGUGCGGAGGAAAAUCCGGAGCUUGCAGGAGCAGGCGGACGCCGCGGAGGAGCACGCGGGCAGUCUGCAGCGCGAGCUGGACUACGAGAGGAAGCUGAGGGAGACCGCUGAAGCCGACGUAGCUUCUCUGAACAGACGCAUCCAGCUGGUUGAGGAAGAGUUGGAUCGUGCCCAAGAGCGACUGGCAACAGCUUUGCAGAAGCUGGAGGAGGCCGAGAAGGCCGCAGACGAGAGCGAGAGAGGCAUGAAAGUCAUUGAAAGUCGAGCCCAAAAAGACGAGGAGAAAAUGGAAAUUCAGGAGAUCCAACUGAAAGAGGCCAAGCACAUCGCUGAAGAUGCCGACCGCAAGUAUGAAGAGGUGGCCCGUAAGCUGGUCAUCAUUGAGAGUGACCUGGAACGCGCGGAGGAGCGGGCCGAACUCUCGGAAAGCCAAGUCCGACAGCUGGAAGAACAAUUAAGAAUAAUGGAUCAGACCUUGAAAGCAUUAAUGGCUGCAGAGGAUAAGUACUCGCAGAAGGAAGACAAAUAUGAGGAAGAGAUCAAGGUCCUUUCUGACAAGCUGAAGGAGGCCGAGACUCGGGCUGAGUUUGCAGAGAGGUCAGUAACUAAAUUGGAGAAAAGCAUUGAUGACUUAGAAGAUAAGUUUCUUUGCUUCACUUCUCCCGAGACCCCUUCAUCAAGCUGGCUGUCCCACCUCUCUGAGCUCUGCAGUAUGUCUCUUCUCCAGCUGACCUGGCUCGUUCCUUUAGCCUCCAGCCUAAGGGCCAGGCACACUGCUUUCCAUUGUACAGAAGCCCCUCGUUUCAGUGUCAAAUAAACACUGUGCAAGCU